AUGGCAAAAGCACCCAUGGACACGCUUCAACUCUCCUGCAUCCAAAUAGCCAUAGCCUUGCUCUUGUUCACUCAAGCCAAGAGCACCACAGAGGACACACCUGCGGUGCAUCCGAACGACGCGAUCCCCAGCUGUGUUGCUAGUGAGAGGUCUGCCCUUCUUUCCUUCAGGGCAGGUCUAUCAGACCCUGGCAACCUCCUUUCGUCAUGGAAGGGUGACGAUUGCUGCCAAUGGAAGGGUGUCUAUUGCAGCAAUAGAAUCGCCCAUGUUGUCGAGCUGGAUUUCCAAGGCACUUACUGUGCAACGGAGGAUUGGAGUACGCCGGUGCUAGGAGGCAACAUAAGCUCCUUGUUGCUUGGUUUAGAACGUCUACAGUAUCUCGAUCUCAGCUGCAACAGAUUCGACAAGAUACAGAUACCAGACUUCAUCGGUUCUCUCCAUAAGUUGAGAUAUCUCGACCUAUCAGACUCAAUGUUCAUUGGAAGGAUACCACCACAGCUUGGUAACCUCUCCAACUUACUCCCUCCAUCCGAGAAAAGUUGUCCACGCCUAGUUCAAUUUUUUUUACAAAAACCCCCUUGA
rnacentral:rRNA from 1 species